rnacentral:lncRNA from 1 species
UCCGUUACUGGAGCAAGCAAAAACAACAAUUGAACUAUCAGGUGGAAAAUUUUGAUCAACAAUGUUAGAAACACGGGUAUAUAUUUCUUUCAAAACAAGUACCUAACAACAUCAGUAUUCUCAGCCUCAGAAUGUUACAUUCACAGAUAGCCAAUUUGAAAUUAUGAUAUCUUUCCUAUUCCUGUCAUGUGGCACUGCCGUCAAAUCCAUUAAAUUGUUGCAUGUUAUGAGUUCCUUCUCUCCAUAUUUAGUCUUUUGCUCGUCUGGAGUGGCAUCUUCACACGAUCAAAACUCGGAAAUUAGCUGGUUCAAAGUUUGUGCAACUUUCAGCAUAAGAUAAUUCUGCCACAUACAUUCUUAUCCCAAUAUAUCAGAACAUAAACUACAAGACUGCUAGCUCUCCAAAUGGAUUGCAUGUUCUGAGUUCCUUCUCCAUAUUUAGUCUUUUUCUCAUCUGAAGUGGCAUCUUCACACGAUCAAAACUCAGAAAUUAGCCGGUUCAAAGUUUGUGCAACUUUCAGCAUAAGAUAAUUCUGCCACGCGCAUUCGUAUCCUAAUAUAUCAGAACAUAAACUAAAAGACUGCUCGCUCUCCAAACAAAAGCAAAUGCCAUCUCAACCAGUGGGACAGCCUGCCAUUUAACUUCACAUAGUCAGCACUUUGAAUCCACUCCAAAAAGUAGCUAAAGUUCUUCAUUUUGCAAAUUCAACAUUAACCUUUGACUUAUUUUAGGCCCCAGACAUAAACAACGUAAUGAAGCACCAGCCAUGAUGGGGUCAGCAACGGACAUCAUUUAUUUCAGAUCCCAUAUUUACUUUUUCCAUAACCAGGGCAAGUAAACAGCUUGUAUAAUUGCUGCUGAAAUUUGAAUUUAAUUUUUUAAUUUCUUUCCAUGAUUAAGAAAUUAGAAACAAUCAGCAAAGACAGAGGAUAAAAGUUGAAAACAAAUAUUAAGUUAAUGCUUCAAAAGGUACAGAGUUGAUUGGCAGUUAAUAACAUUACAAGUUUUGUACUAAAUUGUUGCGAGUGAAAAACUGUGUUUUUAAGAAAAAUAAUUCAUAGUAUAACUAAAACAAGAAAUAAUAUGCAUAGAAAAAAAGUCACACACAGCAACUUUGAGGACAAAUUUAGCAUUCAAAAAACCAAUUAACAGAGAAAAAGAUCUGUGGGACAGCAAGGUCGAAAUAAGAACACGAAGUAUAAUUUGAAUAUCAGAAAUUUUGGCAUUAUCAUCAAUUUUGCAAAAGGAAAUUACAAGUGGACAGUGUGUUUCUUAGUAAAUAUCAAGGAUACAAUAUAUGUAAAAGAAUGACUUUGCUUUAUGAAGAAGAACACAUAUAUGACAAACAAAUAGAUCAGGAAACAAGUAAGAGGUUCUCCGAAUUACAAAUCUCAAACAUCCGAAGUAUGAGGAUAAUAAUUCAAUAAAAACUCAGAAUUGCCAUUGAUGCUAUUGUAUCAAUUAGGAGAAAUCGAAAAGGAUAACUGCAUCUCAGUAAGUUAGAAAGUAAUAUUAAGAUCCUUGCUGGGAAUCUCUGAUAGGUAAUACAAUAUCAUUGAUCCAAUCAAAUUAACACAAAAUCAAAGCAUAAAAUACUGGAUAAAGGAACAUCAUAUUAACAACAUUCCCAUAAUAAUUAGUUCAAAAACGAAUGGGGGAGGACGAACACUGAAGAUAUAAUCAUAAAGAAGCUGCCUAAUAAAAGGAGAUGAUGAUUUUCUGAAAGUGGGAAAGAGUUCAAAAGGGGGAGGGCGCUAAAGC